rnacentral:rRNA from 1 species
UAUAGGAUCAAGCGACUAAGUGCAUAUGGUGGAUGCCUUGGCGAUCACAGGCGAUGAAGGACGUUGUAGCUUGCGAUAAGCUGCGGGGAGUGAGCAAACACACUUUGAUCCGCAGAUUUCCGAAUGGGGAAACCCACCCGUAAGGGUAUCGCAUACUGAAUACAUAGGUAUGCGAGGCGAACGCAGAGAACUGAAACAUCUAAGUACCUGCAGGAAAAGAAAUCAACCGAGAUUCCCAGAGUAGUGGCGAGCGAAAUGGGAUGAGCCUUCUAGUGAUAAUUAUUGAAUUAGUGGAACAGUCUGGAAAGUCUGGCCAUAGUGGGUGAUAGCCCCGUACGCGAAAAUUCAGUGAUGGUACUAAGCUAGAGACAAGUAGGGCGGGACACGUGACAUCCUGUCUGAACAUGGGGGGACCAUCCUCCAAGGCUAAAUACUCGUGAUCGACCGAUAGUGAACCAGUACCGUGAGGGAAAGGCGAAAAGAACCGCGGGAGCGGAGUGAAAUAGAUCCUGAAACCGUAUGCAUACAAACAGUCGGAGCCUCUUUAUGGGGUGACGGCGUACCUUUUGUAUAAUGGGUCAGCGACUUACAUUCAGUGGCAAGCUUAACCAUAUUGGGAAGGCGCAGGGAAACCGAGUCCGAAUAGGGCGUCCAGUCGCUGGGUGUAGACCCGAAACCAAGUGAUCUAUCCAUGGCCAGGUUGAAGGUGCGGUAACACGUACUGGAGGACCGAACCCACUAACGUUGAAAAGUUAGGGGAUGAGCUGUGGAUAGGGGUGAAAGGCUAAACAAACUUGGAAAUAGCUGGUUCUCUCCGAAAACUAUUUAGGUAGUGCCUCAAGUAUCACCAUCGGGGGUAGAGCACUGUUAUGGCUAGGGGGUCAUCGCGACUUACCAAACCAUGGCAAACUCCGAAUACCGAUGAGUGCGAGCUUGGGAGACAGAGCACCGGGUGCUAACGUCCGGACUCAAGAGGGAAACAACCCAGACCGCCAGCUAAGGUCCCUAAUAUAUGCUAAGUGGGAAACGAAGUGGGAAGGCUAAAACAGUCAGGAGGUUGGCUUAGAAGCAGCCAUCCUUUAAAGAAAGCGUAAUAGCUCACUGAUCGAGUCGUCCUGCGCGGAAGAUGUAACGGGGCUAAGCAUAUAACCGAAGCUGCGGAUUUGCACGUAAGUGCAAGUGGUAGGAGAGCGUUCUGUAGGCCUGCGAAGGUGUGGGGUAACCCAUGCUGGAGGUAUCAGAAGUGCGAAUGCUGACAUGAGUAGCGAUAAUGGGGGUGAAAAGCCCCCACGCCGUAAGCCCAAGGUUUCCUGCUCAACGUUCAUCGGAGCAGGGUGAGUCGGCCCCUAAGGCGAGGCAGAGAUGCGUAGUCGAUGGGAAUCAGGUUAAUAUUCCUGAACCGCUGUCAAAUGCGAUGGGGGGACGGAGAUUUGCAGGUCAUCCGGGUGUUGGACGUCCCGGUUUCUGAGUGUAGGUGGCUGCUAGGCAAAUCCGGCAGCGUAUCACCGAGGCGAAUGAUCGAGUGAGCUUGCUCACGAAGUGACUGAAUGAUCUUCCAAGAAAAUCCUCUAAGCUUCAGUUUGACAGGACCGUACCGCAAACCGACACAGGUGGGCGAGCUGAAUAUGCUAAGGCGCUUGAGAGAACUCAGGAGAAGGAACUCGGCAAAUUGACACCGUAACUUCGGAAGAAGGUGUGCCCUAUUAGCGUGAUGAGAGAAACGCUCAAAGCGUGAACGGGUCGCAGAUAAUCGGUGGCUGCGACUGUUUAACAAAAACACAGCACUCUGCAAAGACGAAAGUCGACGUAUAGGGUGUGACGCCUGCCCGGUGCUGGAAGAUUAAAUGAUGGGGUGCAAGCUCUUGAUUGAAGUCCCAGUAAACGGCGGCCGUAACUAUAACGGUCCUAAGGUAGCGAAAUUCC